rnacentral:rRNA from 1 species
CUACGGGGUGCUGCAGUGGGGAAUAUUGCGCAAUGGGCGCAAGCCUGAUGCAGCAACGCCGCGUGAGGGAUGAAGGCCUUCGGGUUGUAAACCUCUUUUAGCAGGGAAGAAGCGAAAGUGACGGUACCUGCAGAAAAAGCACCGGCUAACUACGUGCCAGCAGCCGCGGUAAUACGUAGGGUGCAAGCGUUGUCCGGAAUUAUUGGGCGUAAAGAGCUCGUAGGCGGUUUGUCACGUCUGCUGUGAAAAUCCAAGGCUCAACCUUGGACUUGCAGUGGGUACGGGCAGGCUAGAGUGCGGUAGGGGAGAUGGGAAUUCCUGGUGUAGCGGUGGAAUGCGCAGAUAUCAGGAGGAACACCAAUGGCGAAGGCACAGCUCUGGGCCGUAACUGACGCUGAGGAGCGAAAGCGUGGGGAGCGAACAGGAUUAAAUACCCCGGUAGUC